rnacentral:ncRNA from 1 species
UGAUAGAGGAGCAGAAACGAUGAGUCCCCCGCUGGCAAUGCCGGCAAGCAGCCGCGGGCAAAAGGCAAUUCUGCCGAAGUUGUUUUACGGUUGCCGCCGUAAGGCUGCUGGGUUAGCGCCAAACAGGUGUUAAACUGUCAUAUUAUUAUGGAGCGCUAUCA